ensembl:lncRNA
UUUAUUCUCUCUAACAAUUUCCACCUUGGCAAGCUCCAGGUCACUAAAACAACAUCCAGAACAAUGAAUUAAAGAUACUGAAAAAGAUGAUACAGAAUGCAGCAUUCUCACAGAAAUGUAGAAACUCCCCACACUUCCAUGCAUUGGUAAACCUCAGGCCUCCAUAAGGCUGAGCACUUUGUGCCUCGCUCACACUUGCUGAUUUUCAGUGCUAAAUCGUGCUGAAAACAAACAGAUUGUCAGAUCCAGGAAUCUCUGCAGGGCACAGUCCAGCGAUGUGCUUCAGUUCAGGGAUAACUGAACAGGGCUGGAUAACGCACAGACGCUCUCUCUGUGCGCAACAGUUCCCCUGUUACCCUGACAGGGAACAUCAGCCAUUUGUUUCAACGCAUUACUGCUUUCUAUCCUUUUUAGAACCAACUAUGGAGUUAACUGUGAUAUUUUCCCUGAGUGGGCAAACAAAGGAGGGAAGCGCAGAGCCCACCAGCACUGCCUGCUCAGGAUGUGCACUACUGCAGGACUCUGCAGAGAGUCUCCUAAAGACUGUACUGAGGCGGUGUCUCAUACAGAGCCACAUCCUCCUUAUUCUCGUGCAGCAGCAGCUGCAGGGACCUGGGGGAGUAGGAGGGAGGGAGCAGAGCAGCCAGGCAGCGCUCACGCAUCCUCACCUGCAGCAGUGGGCAGUGAGCCAGCCUGCCCUCUGGGGGAAGGGGGAAGCGGAGGCAGGUGAUACCUGCUCAGUGUGCGGAGGAUGGCUUUCUGGGGGUUGGCUUUCCUGUCUUUUUUUUUUCAUGAAGCGUUUAUCUUCUGACAGUUUUCUGUGUUUUUUUUUUUUCUAAUUUACAAACAAAAGCCCGCUGCAGAUCUCUUAACCCCUACAGAUCUCUGAUUUUUUUAUUUUUUUUAUUUUUUGCGAGAAGAACUGAUCCAGAAAACAGAGACUGAUGAGACCCCCUUGUCCCAUAUCCGCCGCUAAUUCCUAGGGCACAUUCCCCUGCCCUGCCACAUUUUCACGAGCAUUGUUUGCAAAGCGCUGUUCUCUCUGAUAACGCGUCUUAAGACAUCUGUCUGUAUCCCUGAAGUUUCCCUCUUGGAUUUUGCAUCCUGAUUCUCUUAAAAACACAUCCUCAUCUGCAGGCAGCUUCAGCUGCCCAUUAUUUUCAUUUCUGGAUCUCUUUUCAGUAACGUGCUCAUUUCUGUGCCUGUCUUCAUAGAGACGUAUCUCUGCGGAGCAGUGUACUCUGAAGGACAAAGCAAACAACUCCUGGAUCCCCUCCCAGGCUAACCGGAGGAGAGGGGCAGGAGAGGAGCUGUUUUGUAUUUGGGAGAAACCCUAAUUCUCAUGGGACUCUGGAUCCUAUGGCACUACAGACAUUUCUCAGAGGAGCCACCACAAAAAAGAAACACCCCAGAAAGCUCGGUGUAUCCGUACUGGGCACACAGUCACACCUGAUGCUCACACAACGCUGGGCAGCCAAGAGCCAAGGGCUCAAAUUCAGUGGUGCACAGGGCUGAGGUUGGCAGAGGCAGAGCAACAAGCACCUUUGGCCCAAUGUAUGGGAACUGUUGAAUCAGGGCCUGAACCUCUGAUUGACCACCUGAGGCAAGCACUGAAUCAGCAGCAGGAGCACAGGUGAAGGCAAUUCAGCUGUGUGGCUGGAAGGGGUGGAGCCAGGCUGCACCUCUCCUAGAUCCCAUUUAAGGGCUGACUGCCAUUGGGGAAGGAUCUCUUUCUGGAGAUUGCUUCUUGUGGAGUUUCUCGUGAGCCUGCAACACUGGUUUACCACCGUGGAGCUCUGGGAACCUCACAGGAAACACUUAAAAUAGGAUGUUAAACUGGUGUUUGUCUUCCGGUACCAGGACAUAAGCCAGGAGUGCACACUGGAGCAGGUUUAAAGAGACAAGACGGAGAACACGGAAGACAUCAACACCUUCCAGCAAUCCAAAUAAAUAAACAUCAUUUUUGAUGUCAGUCCUUUAAUGGCUGUCCUCCUCCUUGAAUAUUAAGAAUAUCAUCACAGAACCUAGAAAGCCAGCCAGAAGAGUUGUGAUUUUUACUAAAUGGUAUUAACAAAACCAAAGCUAAAAAAGCAUAAGAAAUGGAGAGUAAUGCUGCAUUUUGUAUAGAUCUUCUAUUGUGGCGCUGCACAUUUGGUUUCAUUAAACUGUCU